GCUGCGAUGGCCGAGUGGUUAAAGCGCUGGAUUCGAAAUCCAACGAGGUUUCCCCACGCAGGUUCGAACCCUGCUCGCAGCG